rnacentral:rRNA from 1 species
UUUUUCCUACGGGACGCAGCAGUGGGGAAUAUUGCACAAUGGGGGAAACCCUGAUGCAGCAACGCCGCGUGAAGGAAGAAGGGUUUCGGCUCGUAAACUUCUAUCGAUAGGGACGAAAGAGAUGACGGUACCUAAAUAAGAAGCCCCGGCUAACUACGUGCCAGCAGCCGCGGUAAUACGUAGGGGGCAAGCGUUAUCCGGAAUUACUGGGUGUGAAGGGAGCGUAGGCGGCAAGGUAAGUAAGAUGUGAAAGCCCGCAGCUUAACUGCGAGGAUUGCAUUUUAAACUAUCUAGCUUGAGUACAG